rnacentral:rRNA from 1 species
AGGCUAAAUAUGGUAUGUUAAGCGAUAGAGAAAGUACCGUGAGGGAAAGUUUGAAAAGAUUUGCCUAAGGCAUAGUGAAAAAGAGAUGAAAUAGUAGUUCUAUAAGCAGCCGGAAUAAAUCCUUAAAUGGAUAAUGACGGUGUACCUUUUGCAUAAUGGGUCAGCAACUUAAUCGGUGGUGCAAGCAGAAAUGCCUAGAUAAAACGACUAUAUUACGAAUGAUGGUAAUAAGUACCCUCGAUUAGACCCGAAACCAAGUGAUCUUACUAUGGUCAAGUAUAUAAAUGACUGAACGGAUGUUUGUCGCAAAAAGCUCCGAUGAACUGUGGUAAGUAAGUGAAAGACAAAUCUGACUUGGAGAUAGCUGGUAUUCCGCGAAACCUAUUUUAGUAGGUCAUCCAUAAAAAAAAACUACAACUAAAUUUAUUAGUAAUUUUACUUAUUAGCAGGUACAGCACUUGAAUUCCAUAAUUUAAAUCUUGUAAUAAUAUUUAAAUUUAUAUUGGGGGGUCGUGAAGGCUCUAUCAUUGGAAAUUAACCUCGGAAUGGCAAAUAAGAAUAAUGGACAAUCAGACACAUGGUGCUAAGGUCAUGUGUCAAAAGGGAAACAGCCCAGAACAAGAAAAUUAAGGCUCCAAAAUUAUUGUGGUUUUAUUUUGUUCUAAAGAUAAAACAACUUAUUGAGUCUUCUUAAAGAAGAUUUAAUUCAGUUAAGUGAAAUAAAGGGAGUUAUUCACCUUCUACAGCCAUGAAGUGAGCUUAGAGGCAGCUAUCUUUUAAAGACCGCGUAAUAGCGCAGUGGUCCAAAAUUAAAGGGAGAAUAGCACCGAAAAUUUAUCGGAUCUAAACAAUAUGCCGAAAUCUUGUCUUUAUAUUAUAUAUAUAAUAUAAAGGGUAGCGGAACAUUCAGUAAAUGUAUGAAGAGUAGUGUUUCAUUACUUGGACAUAACUGAAGAGAGAAUGCUGACAUGAGUAACGUUAAAGGUGGUCAAUUUAUUUUUUUUUAUAAAAAUAUAUUAAUAUAAUCCACCUCGCCUUAAGCAGAAGGGUUUCAAGGCAAUGCUUAACAGCCUUGAGUAAAGUAACGGCCUCUAAGAUAAUAACCGAAAGGGUUAAAACGAUGAGUAAAUGAAUAUCUUUCUUUUUGAAUAAAAACCUUUUAAAUUAGUUAAAAGGUUCAGGAAAAAACAAAGAGAUUAUUUAAAUUAAAUAAUAAAACCGUACCCUAAACCGACACUGGUUUGCUGGUAGGGAAUACUAAGGCGUAUGAGAGAACUAUCGCGAAGGAACUCGGCAAAAUGCCUCCGUAACUUAGGGAGAAGGAGUACCGUUCGUUAAUUCGAACGGCCACAGAAAAUCGUGUUGUACAACUGUUUACUUAAAACACAGUACUUUGCAGAGACGUAAGUCUAAGUAUAAGGUAUGAAAUCUGCCCGAUGUCAUAGGCUAACUGAGGGUAUGAAAUUACUUAAAGGAACCCCUGAUCAAUGGCGGCCUUAACUAUAAGGGUCCUAAGGUAGCGAAAUUCCUUGGCCGUUAAAUGCGGUCCAGCAUGAACGAUCCCAUGAUACAACAGCUGUCUCCGCGAUAGACUCAGUGAAAUUGGAAUAGCUGUGCAGAUACAGUUUACCCAUAGUCAGACGGGAAGACCCUAUGCAGCUUUACUGUAACUAGUUAUUGCUUGCGAUCGGAUUAGGUUGUAGAGUAUAAGGUAGUCGAUUAGACCUAUGUGAAACACCUUUACCUAUUAGGCCGUAAGCUGGUAGAGCUAUCGCUUUACCCUUUAUCAAAAUUAUAUAAUUGAGAAAGUUUCUAUUGAAAUAUAAAAUUGAUAUUUUAGUUGUGUAAUAACAAUUAAAAUAUUCAAUAAGAAAAAGAGCAGCUGUUACUUUAUUUUUAACUUAUAAAGACAGCUGUGACAGUGACUAGCUGGCAGUUUUUGUGGGGCGCAAUUCUCAAAAAAAGUAUCUGAGUAAGUCCGAUUAAUUUAAUCUUAGUCUUUAUUGACAAGGAUAAAAUUUAAAACGUACGUCGUGAGACAGUACGGUCCCUAUCUUCUAUGGGAAAUUAGAGUCGAAAAAGGAUCUGUCCUUUGUACGCAAGGAUUUGGAUGGACUAACCUCUUGUUUACCUGUUGUUUAUUUUAGUCUGCAUCUUCCUUAAUUCCAAAUUAAGGAAGAUUCGCUGAGGACUUAAAAAAAAAAAUAAUUCUAGUUAAAACUAGUUUGAAUUAUAUAAAUAGGCACGGCAGGAAAGCUACGUUGGGAAUGGAGAAAGGCUGAAAGCAUCUAAAGCCUGAAAUCACCCU